rnacentral:rRNA from 1 species
UACGUAGGGUGCGAGCGUUGUCCGGAAUUAUUGGGCGUAAAGAGCUCGUAGGCGGUCUGUCGCGUCGGAUGUGAAAGCCCGGGGCUUAACUCCGGGUCUGCAUUCGAUACGGGCAGGCUAGAGUUCGGUAGGGGAGACUGGAAUUCCUGGUGUAGCGGUGAAAUGCGCAGAUAUCAGGAGGAACACCGGUGGCGAAGGCGGGUCUCUGGGCAACAACUGACGCUGAGGAGCGAAAGCGUGGGGAGCGAACAGG